rnacentral:rRNA from 1 species
CCUACGGGUGGCAGCAGUGGGGAAUAUUGGGCAAUGGACGCAAGUCUGACCCAGCAACGCCGCGUGAAGGAAGAAGGCUCUCGGGUUGUUAACUUCUUUUAAGGGGGAAGAGCAGAAGACGGUACCCCUUGAAUAAGCCACGGCUAACUACGUGCCAGCAGCCGCGGCAAUACGUAGGUGGCAAGCGUUGUCCGGAUUUACUGGGUGUAAAGGGCGUGCAGCCGGAGAGACAAGUCAGAUGUGAAAUCCACGGGCGCAACCCGUGAACUGCAUUUGAAACUGGUUCCCUGGAGUGUCGGAGAGGUAAUCGGAAUUCGUGGUGUAGCGGUGAAAUGCGUAGAUAUAAGGAAGAACACCGGUGGCGAAGGCAGAUUACUGGACGAUAACUGACGGUGAGGCGCGAAAGCGUGGGGAGCAAACAGGAUUAGAUACCCCAGUAGUC